UCGGUAUGACAACUCCGGGUACAAAGUCAAUCUGGUGCUCGAUGCCUCUGAUUGGUGGCAAUCCACUUGGCAUCUCCUCAGGAAACACAUCGUCGAACUCCUGCAAUAAAGACUUAACCAAACUAGGAAGGGAUGUGUUAGAAUCCUCGAAAUUGAGGAGGGACUCCUUGUACACUAACAAUAUCAUUUGCCUAUUAUCGCUCAUAGCCUUUUUCAACUCACUCUCUUUUGCAUAGAAGUUGACCUUUGGCUUUUCUCUCCGCUCAGCUGACUCCUUUUCUCUCCUCUCAACUGACUCCUUUUCUCUCCGCUCAUAUGCCUUCUCUCUCUUUUCUCCACUCUCAGCCACCUCACUAUUUUUUCUCUUAUUGAUGGUUUCACUAUUGCCUCUCCUUUUUCCUGACUCUCUUAUUCUCUCGUCUUCCUCACUUUUCAACUUGAUUUGAUCUCCAUACACUUGUGCCGGUGUUAAUGGCGCAAGAGUAAUAGUCUUCCCAUCCUUGACAAAGCUAUAAC
rnacentral:lncRNA from 1 species